UCCUUCAUUAUGAGGGAGCAGAUUAUGAGGGUGCCCAGAGGAGUUCUGAGAGCCCCAGCAUAAAGAUUCACUCCUAAAGACCUGGAAGAGUGGGUACUGAGACUCCUGUUUUGGGGAACCACAAGGCAAAUCUUCCAGCUGGUAGAGCGGAGCUUCUCUGCCUUGUAUCACGUAAGAAGGACGAAUGGGGAAGAGGUGUAGCUACGCCCAGUGCUUUGACAGGAAUUGAGCACCCAUGCUCUCAGAGUGGGAGGUGGAGAGGGAGCUGGCACUUCUUCUGUAUCCAGCCUACAGUGUUGUGGUUGAACACGGCGAUUCUUGGAUAAAUCAUUCUCAUCCACGUUUGGGUUUACGCGGUCUCCCCAGUACCACGUGUGUACGUGCGUUCUGACCCCACCGUCACUUAGAAAAGGCUCAGAGCCACAGUCUGACACUCUCCUAGUCAGAGGCCCUUGCUGAGUGAGUCAUGUAGAGCCGGACCCAGAAGCCUGGGACUCGGGAUCCCUUCUCCAUAUGCUGAGGAUGCCAGCUUCCCAGUCCCCUGCGAGCAGUGCAGCCGGCGUCUGGGAAACGUAACACUCUGGAGCUCUUGUUUGUGAUACUUCCUGCUGUGUUCCUGGCACAUGUGAACACACUGAAUUUUUAACUCA